rnacentral:rRNA from 1 species
CUCCUAAAGAGUAACGGAGGCGCCCAAAGGUUCCCUCAGCCUGGUCGGCAAUCAGGUGUUGAGUGUAAGUGCACAAGGGAGCUUGACUGUGAGAGUGACAGCUCGAGCAGGGACGAAAGUCGGGACUAGUGAUCCGGCGGUACAUUGUGGAAUGGCCGUCGCUCAACGGAUAAAAGGUACCUCGGGGAUAACAGGCUGAUCUUGCCCAAGAGUCCAUAUCGACGGCAUGGUUUGGCACCUCGAUGUCGGCUCGUCGCAUCCUGGGGCUGGAGUUGGUCCCAAGGGUUGGGCUGUUCGCCCAUUAAAGCGGUACGCGAGCUGGGUUCAGAACGUCGUGAGACAGUUCGGUCCCUAUCCGCUGCGUGCGUUGGAAAUUUGUGGAGGCCUGUCCUUAGUACGAGAGGACCGGGACGGACGAACCUCUGGUAUGUCAGUUGUUCCGCCAGGAGCAUCGCUGAUUAGCUACGUUCGGGAUUGAUAACCGCUGAAAGCAUCUAAGCGGGAAGCUUGCUCCGAGAUGAGAUUUCCUAACCCCCUUCGAGGGGUGUGAGGUGCCCAGUAGACGACUGGGUUGAUAGGCCAGGUGUGGAAGCGUUGCAAGGCGUGGAGCUGACUGGUACUAAUACACCGAAGACUUAUACACACA